AACGAACGCUGGCGGCAUGCCUAACACAUGCAAGUCGAACGAUGGCUUCGGCCAUAGUGGCGCACGGGUGAGUAACGCGUGGAAACCUGCCUUUUGGUUUGGGAUAACUCCGGGAAACUGGAGCUAAUACCGGAUGAGCCCGAGCAAUCGGGGAAAGAUUUAUCGCCAAAAAGAGGGGCCCGCGUCCGAUUAGGUAGUUGGUGGGGUAACGGCCUACCAUGCCUACGAUCGGUAGCUGGUCUGAGAGGAUGAUCAGCCACACUGGGACUGAGACACGGCCCAGACUCCUACGGGAGGCAGCAGUGGGGAAUAUUGGACAAUGGGCGCAAGCCUGAUCCAGCAAUGCCGCGUGGAUGAUGAAGGCCUUAGGUUGUAAGUCCUUUCGGCGGGGACGAUGAUGACGGUACCCGCAGAAGAAGCCCCGGCUAACUUCGUGCCAGCAGCCGCGGUAAU
rnacentral:rRNA from 1 species